rnacentral:rRNA from 1 species
AACGAACGCUGGCGGCGUGCCUAACACAUGCAAGUCGUGCGGGAAAGCAGGGGCAACUCUGCGAGUACAGCGGCGCACGGGUGAGUAACACGUAGGUAACCUACCUCCGAGACUGGGAUAACCUGUCGAAAGACGGGCUAAUACCGGAUAAGACCACAACGGCUGCGGUUGUUGGGGUAAAAGGUGGCCUCUGCUUGCAAGCUACCACUUGGGGAUGGGCCUGCGCGCCAUUAGCUAGUUGGCGGGGUAACGGCCCACCAAGGCAGAGAUGGCUAGCUGGUCUGAGAGGAUGGCCAGCCACACUGGGACUGAGACACGGCCCAGACUCCUACGGGAGGCAGCAGUGGGGAAUCUUGCGCAAUGGGCGAAAGCCUGACGCAGCGACGCCGCG